GUCCAUUUAGUAUAAAAAAUAUUUUAGACUUCCAAUCUUAAGAUCCGUUAGUUAGCGGAAUGGACA
rnacentral:tRNA from 1 species